rnacentral:rRNA from 1 species
GACAGAGGGUGCAAACGUUGUUCGGAAUUACUGGGCGUAAAGCGCGUGUAGGCGGCCCUGCAAGUCGGGUGUGAAAUCCCAUGGCUCAACCAUGGAAGUGCACUCGAAACUGCAGGGCUAGAGUCCUGGAGAGGAAGGUGGAAUGCUUGGUGUAGAGGUGAAAUUCGUAGAUAUCAAGCGGAACACCGGUGGCGAAGGCGGCCUUCUGGACAGUGACUGACGCUGAGACGCGAAAGCGUGGGGAGCAAAC